rnacentral:tRNA from 1 species
GUGUAGCUUAGUAGUAGAGCACUUGCCUAGUAUGCAGGAGGUCCUGGGUUUGAUCCCCAGCAC